GACGAACGCUGGCGGCGUGCCUAAUACAUGCAAGUCGAACGCAUUGGGGACGGGUGAGUAACACGUGGGUAACCUCCCAUCAGAGGGGAUAAAACUUGGAAACAGGUGCUAACCCGAUCCGGAUGGAUGGACACUCGGUGCAUUAGCUAGUUGGGGAGGUAACGGCUAACCAAGGCAAAGAUGCAUAGCGGACCUGGAAGGGUGACCGCCAACACUGGGACUGAGACACGGCCCAGACUCCUACGGGAGGCAGCAGUAGGGAAUCUUCGGCAAUGGACGAAAGUCUGACCGAGAAACGCCGCGUGAGUGAAGAAGGUUUUCGGAUCGUAAAACUCUGUUGUUAGAGAAGCGGUAUCUAACCAGAAAGCCACGGCUAACUACGUGCCAGCAGCCGCGGUAAUUC
rnacentral:rRNA from 1 species